rnacentral:lncRNA from 1 species
CAUGGCGGCUAUGGUUUGAACAUCUAGAAGUACGGCUGGAAGUCAUCACAUGCAUCUCUUCAGCAAUUAAGCCCCUUUUAAAGACGUCGCUGAAAAACAAACUUGGAAACUUUCAAACACUUCAAAGCAAAGAUGGACCCGAUUGCUUCAGUUGCACCACCAAAUGGAUCUCAUUGCAAAGCAACUUGAGCAAAUUAGACGGUGUCAUCAACUGUCUCCUGCCAUUCUCCCUUGAUAGAUAUUGUAGGCCAUCUAAAACUUCUAGACCUGGAGUAUAUAAUAAGCUGGGGUCGGGGCGGGUUUAAUACACUGGGUCGGGCGGGUUUAAUUAAUCGAAUGAGUGAGUUAUCUGAUCCAAUGGUUU